GGAUUAGGUUGCCUUUUCCUACUCCAGGGGAUCUUCCUGACCCAGGAAUUGAACCCGCAUCUCUUGUGUCUCCUGCAUUGGCAGGCUGUGCUCACCACUUCUUUCCCUUCCUGCUUGACAAUAUGUUGCCAUGCAAUAAAAGCCCUAAUGCCCAUUUUCAACGAUUAGCUGUACAUCAGCAUUACCACCACAAAUCCACAAGUUUCACAUCAAGCAUUAAAUGGGAUGAAUAUUGAUCUGCUAAAGAGGAUUUAUUUAUUUCUAGCUCUAUCCAAAGAUCAACUGCUAGCAGCUUUUGGGGGAUCUGUGAAGCUCUCACAGCACAAAGCUACUGCAUACAUGACACUGGACUUGACAUUUCAGUUCUGGAAGAAAACCAAACAGUAAAUUCAGUGCAAUAAUCCUAGAUAAAUGAGAUGAUCACUGGAAAAGCUGAGAUAGUUAAGUGGUCUAUCAGAGAAGUCCAACGGAUGGUAUUGAACAGUUGCUACAUAGAAUCCUCACUCAUGUCAAUAUGGUCCAAAGCAUCAUCAUAUCAGAUGCCAGUAUAAUCACAUUCAAACAAUCUCUACCUUCUGCUUAGAUUUCUCUGCCUGUAUAUUUUGCUGGAUUUACGAGUGACUGCAGAUAAUACACAAUGUGACGGAAGCUGCAGCCUAAAGUGUGUGAACAACACUUGUUGUGAAUACGUGGUACAUCACGAGAAACGCUGGGCUGGAGGAAGCACAAGCUGGAAUCAAGAUUGCUGGGAGAAAUAUCAAUAACUUCAGAUAUGCAGAUGACACCACCCUUAUGGCAGAAAGUGAAGAACAAAGAGCCUCUUGAUGAAAGUGAAAGAAGAGAGUGAAAAAGUUGGCUUAAAGCUCAACACUCAGAAAACUAAGAUCAUGGCAUCUGGUCCCAUCAGUUUAGUUCAGUUCAGUCGCUCAGUCAUGUCCGACUCCUUGUGACCCCAUGAAUUGCAGCAUGCCAGGCCUCCCUGUCCAUCACUAACUCCCGGAGUUCACUCAAACUCAUGUCCAUCGAGUCAGUGGUGCCAUCCAGCCAUCUCAUCCUCUGCCGUCCCCUUUUCCUUCUGCCCCCAAUCCUUCUGAGCAUCAGAGUCUUUUCCAAUGAGUCAACUCUUUGCAUGAGGUGGCCGAAGUACUGGAGUUUCAGCUUCAACAUCAGUCC
ensembl:lncRNA